rnacentral:rRNA from 1 species
UACGUAGGGGGCAAGCGUUGUCCGGAUUUAUUGGGCGUAAAGAGCAGUGUAGGCGGCCAGGUAGGUCUGCUGUGGAAAACUCGAGGCUCAACCUCGAGACGUCGGUUGAAACCGUCUGGCUAGAGUCCGGAAGAGGAGAGUGGGAAUUCCCGGGUGAUAGCGGUGAAAGUGACGCAGAUAUCGGGAAGAACACCCGUGGCGAAGGCGGCUACUCUGGGACCGGUACUGACGCUGAGACGCGGAAAAGCGUGGGGAGCGAACGAGG